UAAUACCAUAAGAAAAAAUGUGUUUCAUUGUGAUUACCAAUGUUGGAAGGGAUAUUACAAUCGGCCAGAUUAACUUCUCUUCGAUCUUUGAUUAAACUCCAUUACAAUCUCCACAUGUUCCAACCACAUAAUGUUUGAUAAAUGAAUCACCGCGUACAUGUGGUUUACAUCUCACUGUCACCUACAAAUUACCCUUUUAACGACCAUUCAUAAAUAGAGUAGAUCUCAUUAUUUUUUCUAGUAUAAUUUUGUUGAGGUAAUGCGUUUUUUCUGGUAUCAUCUCUACCACCUUAUUCUUUCCCUUCAUAUUCUACAAUCAAAACAAGUUGUGUUUAUGGAAUUCAAAUUUAUUCAAAAGAUCCAUUCUCAAAGGUAAUUUUACCUGGAUGGAGUGGAGACCGUCAACAUUUUGUACAUCUCAUGGUA